GCUGCUGCCGCGAUCGCGGUGCAGGAUCCCGCCCGCUCCACAGCUGGAGGGAAAAAGGAACGCGCGGGCCAGAGGCUCCGGCAAGAGUGCUGGAUGUAUGAUUAUUGGACAAUUACUUAAACUCUCUGUGAAAUGGGAAUUAUGACAGAUCCAUUAAGCCUAGGAGGACCUGAGCACAAGCACGAGGAGAUACCGCUGACGUCCAAGGUCAGGGGCAGAAGCCGGGAGGACCUCAUGCCUGAGGGGCAGUGGCGGAGAGGAGCUACCCCACGCCUGAGGCCAGGGGCGGCGGCUGGGAGGAGCAACCCCACAUCCAGACAGAGGUGGCUGCACAGGCGCAGGAGGGCCUAGAGGAGCGAUUCCACGGUCAAGGUCAGGAGGGGCAGCGGUGAGGAGAUACCCCUCAUCCAAGGUAAGGAGCAGUGGUUGCACUUUGCUGGAGCAGCUGUGAAGAGAUACCCCAUAUCCAAGGUAAGAGAAACCCAAGUAAGAUGGUAGGUGUUGCAAGAG
ensembl:lncRNA